rnacentral:rRNA from 1 species
AUUGAACGCUAGCGGGAUGCCUUACACAUGCAAGUCGAACGGCAGCACGGACUUCGGUCUGGUGGCGAGUGGCGAACGGGUGAGUAAUGUAUCGGAACGUGCCCAGUAGCGGGGGAUAACUACUCGAAAGAGUAGCUAAUACCGCAUUCGCCCUACGGGGGAAAGGGGGGGAUCGCAAGACCUCUCACUAUUGGAGCGGCCGAUAUCGGAUUAGCUAGUUGGUGGGGUAAAGGCCCACCAAGGCGACGAUCCGUAGCUGGUUUGAGAGGACGACCAGGCACACGGGGACUGAGACACUGCCCAGACUCCUACGGGAGGCAGCAGUGGGGAAUUUUGGACAAUGGAGGAAACCCUGAUCCAGCCAUCCCGCGUGUGCGAUGAAGGCCUUCGGGUUGUAAAGCACUUUUGGCAGGAAAGAAAUCGCACGGGCUAAUACCUCGUGUGGAUGACGGUACCUGCAGAAUAAGCACCGGCUAACUACGUGCCAGCAGCCGCGGUAA